AGUAAAAUCAGCUAUAUUUAAGCUAUUGGAUUCAUGCUUCAAAAAUGGGGUUAACUCUUUUACUA
rnacentral:tRNA from 1 species